ensembl:lncRNA
AGAAAAUAAAAUGAUUUUUCCGAUUUUGGUUGUGCAAAUUCAGUAACGAAAAACGAGAAGUUUUCCACUCUCCAUUUAGGCUCAAAUGAACUAAAUGUACACAGACCCAACACAGGGGCUGACCUUACAUAUUCUGUUUAAAGGGGCGAAUUUGAUCUGGAAGCCAAAGCAACCAAAUACUCCAUCUAAACGUGAAUCGAUUCUCAAUUGCGGUACAGUUCUAGAGACAUAAAUCCCUCUACUUUCAUAUCACAUCAAAAUAAUUUCACAAAUGCAAAAUAGCUGGAGAGAGUGGAUUGGUGGAGGUUUGGGCUAGAAUAUAUGUGGCAUGGCUCUAGUCAGGGUUCGGAUAUGAAUUACACACGUGGCGAUGUAAAGUGACUCGUGGUUGCCCAAAUGAAUGUCGCCCAAAUGAAUGUCGCCCAAAUGAAUGAAUGAAUGUGUCACGUUCUUACCUUUAUUUCCUUUGUUUUGUCGUUAUUUAGUAUGGUCAGGGAGUGAGUUGGGGUGGGCAGUCUGUUUGUUUUAGUAUGGUCAGGGCGUGAGUUGGGGUGGGCAGUCUGUUUGUUUUAGUAUGGUCAGGGCGUGAGUUGGGGUGGGCAGUCUAUGUUUGUUUUAGUAUGGUCAGGGCGUGAGUUGGGGUGGGCAGUCUAUGUUUGUUUUUCUAUGAUUUGGGUAUUUCUAUGUUUCGGCCUGGUAUGGUUCUCAAUCAGAGGCAGGUGUCAUUAGUUGUCUCUGAUUGAGAAUCAUACUUAGGUAGCCUGGGUUUCACUGUGUGUUUGUGGGUGAUUGUUCCUGUCUCUGUGUUUGCACCAGAUAGGGCUGUUUUGGGUUUUCACGUUUCUUGUUUUGUUAGUUUGUUCAUGUGUAGAGUCUUUAUUAAAGAACCAUGAAUAGAAACAACGCUGCAUUUUGGUCCGCCUCUCCUUCAAGUCAAGAAAACCAUUACAGAAUGAAUGAAAAAAAUACAUGUUUACAUACAAGACCAGCUGGAUAGAUAUAUGUUGUUUACUAGUAAGUUUGUUACAUAGAAUCAAACAAACAGAUACAUUACUAUAAAAGUUGACACAAACUAUGCUUUUCAGCUUCAGGAAAUGGCAUAACAAUAAUACAUUAUAACCCUUGACAUCCCGAACCUAUGUUUGUUUCAAUAAAAUAGUUUUUCUAACAUUUAGGACUACCCAUCCACUUGCAUUACUAGUUCAAACUAAAUAAAAACAUAUUAAAAUAAAAACGACUAAUUCAGACAAAGGUAGAAACACAUAGAACAGGGUGAUGAGUGUCCUGUCAGGUAACGGACUAUAUAAAGUGCAGAUCUUUAAUUUUUGUAUUUCAUACACUGGCCAUGAUUUCAAUAUUAUCUCAUAUAAAGCCGUGGUCAGAAGGGAUAAGGCAGGCUAACGAUGACCAAUUAUUUGAUAUUAUUACUACUAAUAAUAAUAAUAAUAAUAAUAAUAAUAAUAAUGCUAAUCAACAACAACAAUUUCCCAAAGUGCUAAAACAAGAUACGGAAAAAAAAAAAAAAAAAAAUCUUAAAUUCUCAAAAGAUCUUAUGACAUAUUAAUAAUAUAUAUAUUAUUUAUAGUCCUCAGUUCCUCUAAAUACGUUUUUGUUUAAAUGUUUAAAAAAAAGAAAGCAGGCAAAUGAUCCAUCAAACUGAGAAAAUACUUGAUCUAUUACUCUAUAAUACACUCAAAGCGCAGAAUAGCAACAAGAGGCAAAUACAGGACUCAGAAUAAAAUAAAAAACACAAUCGACCACAGUAUAAAUUCUAGUACUUCAAGGCACAAGACUAUGUUAAAUAGACAGUUAACUUCUUCUCCAACAGUGGAGUUUUUAAAAAUGUGUAUCAAAGUUUACUUUGUUUUAUAUCAACCUGAAUUCAUUAAAUAAAUCUGGUUAGGUUAGCUUAAUCCUAUACGUCAAGGUUAGCUUAAUCCUAUACGUCAAGGUUAGCUUAAUCCUAUACGUCAAGGUUAGCUUAA